rnacentral:tRNA from 1 species
GUUACUUUGGCAGAUUAGUGCAAUGGAUUUAGAAUCUUUUUAUGUAAAAGUUUUACAGGUAAUAAUUGUUUAUGUUUGAUUUUGUUUUA